UUGACCCGGCGAUGUCCGAAUGGGGAAACCCAGUGCAAUCCGUUGCACUAUCGUUAACUGAAUACAUAGGUUAACGAGGCGAACCGGGGGAACUGAAACAUCUAAGUACCCCGAGGAAAAGAAAUCAACCGAGAUUCCCCCAGUAGCGGCGAGCGAACGGGGAGCAGCCCGGAGUCUGAAUCAGCUUGUGUGUUAGUGGAACGGUCUGGAAAGUCCGACGGUACAGGGUGAUAGUCCCGUACACGAAAGCACACAUGCUGUGAACUCGAAGAGUAGGGCGGGACACGUGGUAUCCUGUCUGAAUAUGGGGGGACCAUCCUCCAAGGCUAAAUACUCCUGACUGACCGAUAGUGAACCAGUACCGUGAGGGAAAGGCGAAAAGAACCCCGGCGAGGGGAGUGAAAAAGAACCUGAAACCGUGUACGUACAAGCAGUGGGAGCCUCUUUAUGGGGUGACUGCGUACCUUUUGUAUAAUGGGUCAGCGACUUAUAUUCUGUAGCAAGGUUAACCGUAUAGGGGAGCCGAAGGGAAACCGAGUCUUAACUGGGCGUUAAGUUGCAGGGUAUAGACCCGAAACCCGGUGAUCUAGCCAUGGGCAGGUUGAAGGUUGGGUAACACUAACUGGAGGACCGAACCGACUAAUGUUGAAAAAUUAGCGGAUGACCUGUGGCUGGGGGUGAAAGGCCAAUCAAACCGGGAGAUAGCUGGUUCUCCCCGAAAGCUAUUUAGGUAGCGCCUCGUGAACUCAUCUUCGGGGGUAGAGCACUGUUUCGGCUAGGGGGCCAUCCCGGCUUACCAACCCGAUGCAAACUACGAAUACCGAAGAAUGUUAUCACGGGAGACACACGGCGGGUGCUAACGUCCGUCGUGAAGAGGGAAACAACCCAGACCGCCAGCUAAGGUCCCAAAGUCAUGGUUAAGUGGGAAACGAUGUGGGAAGGCACAGACAGCCAGGAUGUUGGCUUAGAAGCAGCCAUCAUUUAAAGAAAGCGUAAUAGCUCACUGGUCGAGUCGGCCUGCGCGGAAGAUGUAACGGGGCUAAACCAUGCACCGAAGCUGCGGCAGCGACACUAUGUGUUGUUGGGUAGGGGAGCGUUCUGUAAGCCGUUGAAGGUGUGCUGUGAGGCAUGCUGGAGGUAUCAGAAGUGCGAAUGCUGACAUAAGUAACGAUAAAGCGGGUGAAAAGCCCGCUCGCCGGAAGACCAAGGGUUCCUGUCCAACGUUAAUCGGGGCAGGGUGAGUCGACCCCUAAGGCGAGGCCGAAAGGCGUAGUCGAUGGGAAACAGGUUAAUAUUCCUGUACUUGGUGUUACUGCGAAGGGGGGACGGAGAAGGCUAUGUCAGCCGGGCGACGGUUGUCCCGGUUUAAGCAUGUAGGCGGAGGUUCCAGGUAAAUCCGGUACCUUAUUAACGCUGAGGUGUGAUGACGAGGCACUACGGUGCUGAAGUGAUAAAUGCCCUGCUUCCAGGAAAAGCCUCUAAGCAUCAGGUAACACGAAAUCGUACCCCAAACCGACACAGGUGGUCAGGUAGAGAAUACCAAGGCGCUUGAGAGAACUCGGGUGAAGGAACUAGGCAAAAUGGUGCCGUAACUUCGGGAGAAGGCACGCUGAUGUGUAGGUGAAGCCCCUGCGGGCGGAGCUGAAAUCAGUCGAAGAUACCAGCUGGCUGCAACUGUUUAUUAAAAACACAGCACUGUGCAAACACGAAAGUGGACGUAUACGGUGUGACGCCUGCCCGGUGCCGGAAGGUUAAUUGAUGGGGUUAGCGGCAACGCGAAGCUCUUGAUCGAAGCCCCGGUAAACGGCGGCCGUAACUAUAACGGUCCUAAGGUAGCGAAAUUCCUUGUCGGGUAAGUUCCGACCUGCACGAAUGGCGUAAUGAUGGCCAGGCUGUCUCCACCCGAGACUCAGUGAAAUUGAACUCGCUGUGAAGAUGCAGUGUACCCGCGGCAAGACGGAAAGACCCCGUGAACCUUUACUAUAGCUUGACACUGAACACUGGUCCUUGAUGUGUAGGAUAGGUGGGAGGCUUUGAAGCGUGGACGCCAGUCUGCGUGGAGCCAACCUUGAAAUACCACCCUUUAAUGGCUGGUGUUCUAACGUAGACCCGUAAUCCGGGUUGCGGACAGUGUCUGGUGGGUAGUUUGACUGGGGCGGUCUCCUCCCAAAGAGUAACGGAGGAGCACGAAGGUUGGCUAAUCCUGGUCGGACAUCAGGAGGUUAGUGCAAUGGCAUAAGCCAGCUUGACUGCGAGCGUGACGGCGCGAGCAGGUGCGAAAGCAGGUCAUAGUGAUCCGGUGGUUCUGAAUGGAAGGGCCAUCGCUCAACGGAUAAAAGGUACUCCGGGGAUAACAGGCUGAUACCGCCCAAGAGUUCAUAUCGACGGCGGUGUUUGGCACCUCGAUGUCGGCUCAUCACAUCCUGGGGCUGAAGUAGGUCCCAAGGGUAUGGCUGUUCGCCAUUUAAAGUGGUACGCGAGCUGGGUUUAGAACGUCGUGAGACAGUUCGGUCCCUAUCUGCCGUGGGCGCUGGAGAAUUGAGGGGGGCUGCUCCUAGUACGAGAGGACCGGAGUGGACGCAUCACUGGUGUUCGGGUUGUCAUGCCAAUGGCACUGCCCGGUAGCUAAAUGCGGAAGAGAUAAGUGCUGAAAGCAUCUAAGCACGAAACUUGCCCCGAGAUGAGUUCUCCCUGAGACUUUAAGUCUCCUGAAGGAACGUUGAAGACGACGACGUUGAUAGGUCGGGUGUGUAAGCGCAGCGAUGCGUUGAGCUAACCGAUACUAAUGAACCGUGAGGCUUAACCUU
rnacentral:rRNA from 1 species